AUGCAGGAUUUGCAGAGCCAGAUUUCAGGCCAGAAGCAGGACUGGAAUGAGGUGCAGCAGAAGCUCAACUUUGUGGAGGAAGAGAAGCUGGAUCGCCUGGAGCUGAAGGCUUUCCGUAAGCACCUGGAGGAGUCUUUGAACAGAGACAUUGAGAAUUUUGAAAAGAGAGUGACAGGUGACAGUGGUGCUGGGAUUAAGAAGCAGCUGCCAGUGCCCUUCUCGUGCCUGUCCUGUGACCGCAUGCUCUCCAUGCAGGUUCCUGGCCCGUACCCCGAGACACUCCCAUAUUUGCAGCCGCUGCCCCCCAGCAAGGAGACCCGGCACAGCCAAAGGAAGUCGGUGGUCAAUGGCAGUGUCCCCCGUGUGCCUCAGAGCUGUGGGGACCAUCAGAUCAGCAGCUCCACAAUGCAGCACAUCAUCGCUUCACCACAUACAAGUGCACAGGUGCAGCGUCUCCUGGUACUGUCCAACAAGCCCAGAGUGGCCCAGCUGCUGGAUAGUGGUGGACUCAUCCCGAGGGGCCGGGAUGACCAGCUUCCUGUGGUGACCAGGGCACAGGAUGAGUCAGGUACAGUCCCCCAAAACACCUGGGCACCUGGGCUGGCCCAGCCCCACCGGACAACAACCACCCCCACCCAGCUGGACGGGACCCAGCGCCCAAGGCUCGAUCUGGGACAAUUUAUCAGAAGCCAGAGAAGCCCGCAAUGACGGCCAUCAGAAACAUGACUCUUUAGUUGUAUUAAGUUAAUAAAAACCCUAGAUCGGACCCCCCCCCCCCCCCCCCCCCCCCCCCCCCCCCCCCCCCCCCCCCCCCCCCC
rnacentral:lncRNA from 1 species